rnacentral:rRNA from 2 species
UGAGUAACACGUGAGCAACCUGCCCUGGACUCUGGGAUAAGCGCUGGAAACGGCGUCUAAUACUGGAUACGAGACGUGGCCGCAUGGUCAACGUUUGGAAAGAUUUUUUGGUUCAGGAUGGGCUCGCGGCCUAUCAGCUUGUUGGUGAGGUAAUGGCUCACCAAGGCGUCGACGGGUAGCCGGCCUGAGAGGGUGACCGGCCACACUGGGACUGAGACACGGCCCAGACUCCUACGGGAGGCAGCAGUGGGGAAUAUUGCACAAUGGGCGAAAGCCUGAUGCAGCAACGCCGCGUGAGGGAUGACGGCCUUCGGGUUGUAAACCUCUUUUAGCAAGGAAGAAGCGAAAGUGACGGUACUUGCAGAAAAAGCGCCGGCUAACUACGUGCCAGCAGCCGCGGUAAUACGUAGGGCGCAAGCGUUAUCCGGAAUUAUUGGGCGUAAAGAG